AUGGUCCAGAUGUCGCUGACAAAGGAGGAGUACAGCUGGUUUUCCGACUUCCUCAAAUUCAAGCACUGUCUCUUAGGGGGAAAGAAGGCCCAGCACUUCUUUUUCAAUUCAACAAACACUCAGAUGAAGAACCUGCCUGCCUACCUGAGGGAGGUGUGGAAGGAGAUGGGUCUGCCCGAAUGUCCUUCAUUCACUGACCUGAGGACCUCCAUUGUCACUCAUGUAAAAAACAUGCUCCCAAAGGUUGACAGGGAAAGGGUGGCCAACUUCAUGUGCCACAACAUCCAGACGGCAGACAAAUAUUAUGCCAUGAAUUUAAAUCCAACCCAAGCAAAUGAAACCAGGGCACUCUUUGAGGCUGCACUGAAGGGGGAAGAUAACACAGUCGCCGCAGAGAACCAGCCCUCCACCUCAGGAGAAAGAAAGCAGAAGGUGAGAGAGGAUGCCUCCCUCUCCGACGGGAGCACCACCCCUGAAGAGACCAAGGUGAUGUACCAGGAGUCUGGCACGUCCGCCGGUGACUCGGAAGAGGAGGAAGAGGAUGAAGAUGAGGAACAGAUGGCCAGACAACUUCCAGUAAGAUCAGCUAUUCUGACAGGACACAUUUGAUUAUCAAAAUGUACUUGUAAACUAUGUAACAGUCAAGUGUGAAUUCUGAGAUAUAUCUAAUUUCUUGUGUUUGCUCUGUCAGGAGACACCUUCCAAGGUGACCAAUCCUCAGGUGGAGAUGGAACUUACCCCAAAGAGGAAGCGGAGCAUCUGCACACGCCGCAUGGAGGUCGCCAUCAGCCCCAUGCUAGUCUCACCCCUCAAAGUGAGGCUCAAGUCGCCCCCCCACCAGUCCCUCAUUGUCACAUUAAAAGGGAUGCAACAACUAAACUCAAAUAAAGUCAGACUAAAAAAUGCCAUUGCCUCAAGGAGGUUAAAGCUGCAGGAGAAGGUGCAAAAGAGAGGAGGGGACCCCUGAUGCAGCUCGAAGGAAGGGGAGCCGACCAACAACAAGACUUCCUCUUCCAAAUAGUCAUGUAGAUUGUUUUAGACUCUCACAUUUAUACUGUUCUGAUUUUGUUUGGUUUGAUUUUCAAUUUUGGUGUGCUUGUUUACAUUUUAGAAGUGUAAAAUGUGUGUAAUUUAGUCUAACUGUCUGUUCAAUUUUCUAUUUUGGUGUGAUUCUUUAUAAUGUAAAGGUUUGUUCUGUUUUAUUAAAUAACUAGUUUAGUAAUUAUUUGUGUUGUGCUUUCUUUAAGGUUAUAUUCUAACUGUCUGUUCAAUUUUCUAUUUUGGUGUGAUUCUUUAUAAUGUAAAGGUUUGUUCUGUUUUAUUAAAUAACUAGUUGAGUAAUUAUUUGUGUUGUGCUUUCUUUAAGGUUUAUAUUUAGUUUGUCACUUAAUUUGUAAGUGUUAAACAUUCACUGUCUUGUGUUGUUGUCUGUGAAGGUAGGAACAAAUAUUUAGGCAUUAUUGGCAUGGGAAUCAUAUGUUUACAUUGGCAAAGCAAAUUAAGUAGAUAAUAAACAAAAGUGAAAUAAACAAUAAAGUCCUGCUGUAGACUGUACUACUGCUGUUCAGGAAGCACAAUUUGAACUAGAAACUUACACAGACAGGCUGAAAUAAACACUAAAAAAUAACAAAUGGCAUCACCGUAAUAUCCCGCUUGACCGUGGCUCGCUCGGUCUGAGCGCAGCGACCAUGAGAAAAGUAAGCCCAAAAUGAAGCCUGCCCCACAACGUCAUUUGCUUUUGGGUGACAGUGAGAGAACCGUUAGGUUUAGAAGGACAAUUCAACCACAGGAAUGUUCCUAACGUCCUUCCGAUCCAUGCAAGCCUUACCUUGACCGUGUGGCAUCAACCCUUAAAAAUAAAACAGGGUUUUUUGAUCUCACAGAUUACAAUGACAUCUCUCCCCAUAGGAAUACAUUGACAGCUCCCCUAAAUUCAACCUGGAGCCUAUGUGGGUUAAUAAUGCCUUAUGAACCUGUCUUCAAUGCCAAUCCAUCAGGCCACUAUGAGGUCUACCUGUGUCGAUUCUAAGCUUCCUGGAGCAACCGGAAGUGGUUAAAUUCACCCAAAAUGUAUUUUGAUGUACAUAACCUGCAAAUGUGAAAAUGACUGCAUUCAACCCUGGGUAGAUCAGUCAAUUCUUAACAUAAAGACUUUAGGAUUCUCAGGAUUCUGUAAGAGAAUACCCAAAGCAAGAUAUUUGUUUACCUAUAGCUUCCUGUGCCAACCGGAAGUGCCUUUAAUUGGUGUCUCAGGGGCUUCUCCUUAGGAGGGAUGGGGACACCACCACGGGACAGACCCCACACUCAUCGCUAGAGAUCGAACUUCAGACUCCCUUCAAAACCACUGAACCCCUCAACACACCGAAAGAGAUUACGGUGCACACCCUUAGAGGGAGCCGGAACAGGAUAACUCCCUCCACCAUCACAGAGACACAGAGGAGGAGGAACUAUCCAACACCCAGGGAGAGAGAACAAGUGACGUCAGUCGAACACAGUCAGAAAGAGGAGGUGGAAGAGGCGUUAGAUAGAGGAGGAUAUUACCCCAGAGGCCAUUCCUCCUGUUCAUGUGAGCAAGAAAGAGCAGAAGGCUUCUGAUCAGCCAAAUGGCAGGCAGAGGGAGAGGUCAUAGUGAUUCACACCCACAGAGAGAAAGACAACCCACACAACCUCUUGGUUGAGAUGAACCACACAGGUAGAGGCAGAGGGCCUUCAGGGCUAGCCAGUCAGCCUGCCUGCUCUGAUCCUCAAGUCAAUUGUAUAUAAAUU
rnacentral:lncRNA from 1 species